rnacentral:lncRNA from 1 species
GAUAACAUUUGCAAUUUGUGAUACCAUUUUUGAUAAAAUUAAUGUUUGUCCCUUUGCUUUACUGGUUUCAGUAACAUUAUUUUGGUUUAUAUUUCUAAUACCUAAUACCCAAAGUAUUACUGUAUAGCGGGUUAUUUUCGCGGGGUGUAGAUUUUCGCUUAUUUUCGCCAAUAGAACAAAAUCACCAAAAUAAAUUCCGCCAAUUUAAAAGUGUUCAUGCAAAGGUAUUGAUAAAUGUUUUAAAUCUGCCAAAAUGAUAACCACCAAAAUAUUUCGUAUACCUUAUUCAAUUCAAAUCGUAAAAUUUUACACCUGCGAAAAUAACCUGCUAUAGAGUAUAUCGAUGAAUUUCACUCCUGAAAUACUCAAGUAAAAGUCAACCAUUUCUGAAUAUAUAUUUUAUAUUUAAAGUGUUUACCAUACCUAAAAUUUUACAUGUAUAUCAUUUUUUUCAGCCCUCUUAUAUAGCCCAAC